AGUGAACGCUGGCGGCGUGCUUAACACAUGCAAGUCGAACGAGAACGGGUUAUAGCUUGCUAUAAUUGUCAGCUAAGUGGCGCACGGGUGAGUAAUGUAUAGGUAAUAUGCCUCUUACUAAGGGAUAACAAAUGGAAACGUUUGCUAAUACCUUAUACUCCUUUUUAAUAGAAGUUAAUAGGGGAAAGAUUUAUUGGUAAGAGUUUGGCCUGUAUUGUAUCAGUUAGUUGGUGGGGUAAUGGCUUACCAAGACUAUGACACAUAACUGGUUUGGGAGGAUGAGCAGUCACAAUGGAACUGAGACACGGUCCCGACUCCUACGGGAGGCAGCAGUGGGGAAUAUUGCACAAUGGACGAAAGUCUGAUGCAGCAACGCCGCGUGAGGAUGACACAUUUCGGUGCGUAAACUCCUUUUAUAUGGGAAGAUAAUGACGGUAUUAUAUGAAUAAGCACCGGCUGACUCCGUGCCAGCAGCCGCCGUAA
rnacentral:rRNA from 1 species